rnacentral:rRNA from 1 species
UGGUGGAGUGAUUUGUCUGGUUAAUUCCGUUAACGAACGAGACCUCGACCUGCUAAAUAGUCCGUAUCAUUUUCGGAUGGUGCGAUUGACUUCUUAGAGGGACUAUCGGUGUGUAGCCGAUGGAAGUUCGAGGCAAUAACA